CGGAGUAGCUCAGUCGGUCAGAGCAGCGGAAUCAUAAUCCGCGUGUCGGGGGUUCGAGUCCCUCCUCCGGC
rnacentral:tRNA from 1 species